GCUUGUUGGUCUAGGGGUAUGAUUCUCGCGAGAGGUCGCGGGUUCAAAUCCUGGACGAACGCA
rnacentral:tRNA from 1 species